CGGUGAAGCCCAGCUUGCUGGGUGGAUCAGUGGCGAACGGGUGAGUAACACGUGAGCAACCUGCCCUCCACUUCGGGAUAAGCCUUGGAAACGGGGUCUAAUACCGGAUAUGAGCUCGCAUCGCAUGGUGUGGGUUGGAAAGUUUUUCGGUGGGGGAUGGGCUCGCGGCCUAUCAGCUUGUUGGUGGGGUGAUGGCCUACCAAGGCGUCGACGGGUAGCCGGCCUGAGAGGGCGACCGGCCACACUGGGACUGAGACACGGCCCAGACUCCUACGGGAGGCAGCAGUGGGGAAUAUUGCACAAUGGGCGCAAGCCUGAUGCAGCGACGCCGCGUGAGGGAUGACGGCCUUCGGGUUGUAAACCUCUUUCAGCAGGGAAGAAGCGCAAGUGACGGUACCUGCAGAAGAAGCGCCGGCUAACUACGUGCCAGCAGCCGCGGUAAUACGUAGGGCGCAAGCGUUGUCCGGAAUUAUUGGGCGUAAAGAGCUCGUAGGCGGUCUGUCGCGUCUGGUGUGAAAUCCCGAGGCUCAACCUCGGGCUUGCAUCGGGUACGGGCAGACUAGAGUGCGGUAGGGGAGACUGGAAUUCCUGGUGUAGCGGUGGAAUGCGCAGAUAUCAGGAGGAACACCGAUGGCGAAGGCAGGUCUCUGGGCCGCAACUGACGCUGAGGAGCGAAAGCAUGGGGAGCGAACAGGAUUAGAUACCCUGGUAGUCCAUGCCGUAAACGUUGGGCACUAGGUGUGGGGCUCAUUCCACGAGUUCCGUGCCGCAGCCAACGCAUUAAGUGCCCCGCCUGGGGAGUACGGCCGCAAGGCUAAAACUCAAAGGAAUUGACGGGGGCCCGCACAAGCGGCGGAGCAUGCGGAUUAAUUCGAUGCAACGCGAAGAACCUUACCAAGGCUUGACAUGUACGAGAAAGCCCCCGAGACGGGGUUCUCUUUGGACACUCGUACACAGGUGGUGCAUGGUUGUCGUCAGCUCGUGUCGUGAGAUGUUGGGUUAAGUCCCGCAACGAGCGCAACCCUCGUCCUAUGUUGCCAGCGGGUUAUGCCGGGGACUUAUGGGAGACUGCCGGGGUCAACUCGGAGGAAGGUGGGGAUGACGUCAAAUCAUCAUGCCCCUUAUGUCUUGGGCUUCACGCAUGCUACAAUGGCCGGUACAGAGGGCUGCGAUACCGUAAGGUGGAGCGAAUCCCAAAAAGCCGGUCUCAGUUCGGAUUGGGGUCUGCAACUCGACCCCAUGAAGUCGGAGUC
rnacentral:rRNA from 1 species